GUACUUUUGAAGAGUCUCAAACUAGGACGAAACAGCUGUCCAGUAC
rnacentral:hammerhead_ribozyme from 1 species